AAACGCAAAACAUGUAUCUAUAUACACAGAUGCAUUACUUGAAUAUUUAUAAGUAGGACUAACGAUUGGAAUACAGAUACAAGCGAUUUACAUGCUAAGAAGCGUUGAAGCGAUUAAACCGUAAUUGGUCGAUUGUAAUAGUUCAAUUUUAGCACGUUAUUGCCAGUUAGUGGUCACGCAUAUGCAUGCGAAGGUGUUUUCUAUUUCUAUGCACGGAACAAUGUUAAAGGUGGAGAAUGUUAAUCAAAGUAUCGAACGAGUUCAUCAUCGUGCCAGUCAUAAAUACCACCAAGUUUACGAUCUCUCCGAGAAGAAAAGAAUUUGCAAAAGCACAAAUGGUGUUUAACUCUCAUCACGGAGCUUUGAAGACGAUGAUUAGAACCUUUACGGAUGGAAAAAUCGAAAGAAAACAAGUGAAAGUUGGCGUAAAAAUUACGCGGUGCGCACUUUGCGGAUGCAAAAAAAAAAAAAAAAAAAAAAGAAGAAGAAGAACGCGAUUUUACUCGAUAACUAGAAACGAGAUCAUCGAUUCAUUCGCUUCGUUGAAGUGCAAUUUUCCAGGAACGAUUACAUACAUACGUUUCGAGACGGAUUUAUUUCAUUAAGUUGAUCGAAAUAAAGGAUUCUUUAAAUAAGAAUAAAAAUCAAGGAUUGAAUUAAAAAUCAAUGAAAGUGGCUCAAGGAAAUUUUUCAUCUUAUCUUUACAUCUAUACUAUUAAACUAUUGACUACUGAACACAUAGUAAGAAACACCUUGAAAUUUUUUGAUCUCUUGAUGAAACUUGGAAAUCAUUGGCCAGAUUAUAUCACAGUAGCAGUGAACGGCGUACAAGUUUACCUUCGAAAAGUCAAGUUCACGCAUAAGUGCGUAAGUGGCAAUCCGCUGUCGAGGCUGGCAGAAAAUUACGAGAAAACGCUUACUGACACUGCGAAAUCUCUGUCUGCUUGUUUAUUUAUGAAAUCAGUCCAUGUCAAAUUAUAAUAUGGUAUAAUAGUAACCGAUCCCGAGCAAAUAUAUGUAUAUUCGAGAAAAGAGGAAAAUUGCACAUGUGAUUUGUUCGUUGCACAAAUUGGAAUGAUAAUAACAGUUGUUUAAUACUGUUAUGUUGUAAAAUUAUGUAAAAAUAUUCUUAACCAGUUGAUGAAUGCAUUUUUUGUUAAGUUGUAUAAAAUCAAUCGAAACUUUCGGAUUAAACGAAGUUGAAAGAUCGAAAAGAUCUUCAUGCUCCAAUUUUUAUGAACAUCGUUGAGUGAUUAAGCUUUAAAUAUCGCUUCAUUGGCUGUUCAGGUCUGUUGGUUGAAGUCAAACAAAGUGGUACGGUUUCCCUCGCAAGCAAUCGAAACAGCUUCUCGAAAUUACUUAGAAAACUUGGGAAAUAUCAAUUAAAAUAUUCACAAUUCAGUGAAUUUUUCAACCGAUGUGUCAAGAGUUUUGGAUCUUCAAGAGGAUUGCAAAGUAUUUUUCGAAGAAUUGUUAUUAUUUUUAAUUAAUUUAAUUUCUUUUUUGCAGGAAUUUGUUCAUCCUUUAAAAUUUCUCUACUUUUUCAUUGGGAAGGAGUUCUAAUAUAUUAAGAUAAAAAAAAAUUGAAAAACAUUAAUUUUUUUCUAAUUUCCCUUAUUUUAUACGAAGAUUGAAGCGUCGUAAAUAAUUCGAAUAUAAAUAACAACUCGAAAAACACUGAAAAGAAUUUUUACUGUACUUCAAAUAAGGAAAUGUCCAUUAGUAAAAUGAUAAAAUUCAAUGCCAUUAUUAUGCCAUCGAAUAAAUAUAAAAUUUAAUAUUAUUCCUCAAAAUAAAAAAAUAAUUUUAAUAAUAAUUCUAAUAAGAAUAUUCAUACACGGAUCCUCAUCGAUCACGAAUCAACCCAAUAUAAUAUACUCAACAGAUACCAAUAGAUAGCUCAUCAACGAUCAUUCAAUAAUAUCUUAAAUAAUAUCUUUUAUCCAGUCAAAGAUCACGAUAGAACGGUAAAAGGAUUGAUGGGAUCCUGGAUUCGAAGCUACUUUCCAACAGGCAUACUUUAUAUGCUUCAUCGAUUGAACUCAAACUUUACUUACAUAUUACCAUAUAUAUCUUUUAGUUUAUCAUUUAUGCUGAUCGAAUGGAAAUUUGUAUCGAUUAAAGUAUACUUUGGAAUUCUUUUUCAUCUUAUCGGUAAAUAAAAAAAGGAAAAGGAAAAAAAGCUACAAAAAUACUUUGAAUAAGGUGGAGGGCAAACGUUGCGAUCGUUCCACCGUGUCGGAAUCACGUAGUUCUAAUUCGACGCCAUGACGACCCAGUUCUCGGAUAUUUUAUGCCGUUUCUUUGGAUUGUCGGUUACAUCUCGUAUCUCGUAUGAUUUGAAUAAAUAUCCUUCACGUUUGAUACGUGAUUAAAGAUAAAAAUAAAAUUAUAAAAGCAGGUAUUCGAACUUGG